UUGGGGUCAUUAUCCUGCAUGAGCAGGUGGAGGAACAGGUGCAGACAGAAAUAUAAAUAAAACAAGCGUUGGCUGCCACAGAAGUUAUAAUCCAGUUAUUGAUCGUCCUUCCUCGUUUCCCCGUUGCAGAGCAGAUGAAACAUCAGAUCAGUGCUAAAUCCAAAUCUUUACACAAUUGAGCUGAGCCUCGGGACUUCAUGUGAAAAUCAAAUGCCGUUUCCUGCACUUCCAAAGGUCUUCAUCAGGAGCUGCUGAUGUGUUCAAGGCUCUUCUAAAGCUCCCCCUGCCACCCUGCAUGCUGUGCAGGCACUCCGCAGCUGAGCGUGAAACUGUGGGACUGUCUGUCAGAUGCAGUCGGAGGACUACCUGUGAAACAUCCUCAAAAGAACCACGUCCUACACGGAAUCAACCCAGCGAUCGUAUGUGCGGCUACAUACAGUCAAAGCCUCGCCUUGUAGGAGAGUGACAUCAAUACAGUCAAGUCCGCUGAAGAUCACUGGUGGUGGAGGAGUCUUUUGUUCUCUACAUGAGGCCGAAGGAAUGGCGAUCCUUUAUGAUAAAGGCAUUCACAUCAAUAUGAGCACCCAGGGGAAUGGCGUGCAUCACAGAGUCACCAUGGAGGACCUCUGCAGGCAGGUGUUCUUAUCACAUUAACAUUUUGCUGUGAUGGCAUGGCUACAUCUGCACUUACUCCUUA